rnacentral:rRNA from 1 species
AAUGAACGUUGGCGGCGUGGAUUAGGCAUGCAAGUCGCGCGAGAAGUUUCCUUCGGGAGACGGACAGCGGCGGAAGGGAGAGGAAUAAGUAGAAAUCUGCCCUCGGGACGGGGAUAGCGGCGGGAAACUGCCGGUAAUACCCGAUAACAUCUUUGGAUCAAAUGGUGUGAUUCCGCCUGAGGAUGAGUCUACUUCCUAUUAGCUAGUUGGUGUGGUAAUGGCUCACCAAGGCAACGAUGGGUAGCGGGUGUGAGAGCACGAUCCGCCUCACUGGGACUGAGACACUGCCCAGACACCUACGGGUGGCUGCAGUCGAGAAUCUUCGGCAAUGGGGGAAACCCUGACCGAGCGACGCCGCGUGCGGGAUGAAGGCCCUCGGGUUGUAAACCGCUGUCGCAAGGGAACAAAUCUAAGAGGGUACUCCCUUUUAGUUGAGUGAUCUUAGGAGGAAGGACGGGCUAAGUUCGUG